CUUUUGUAACACUUACUAAUAAAGUUUUAAGACCACUCAGGUCUCGUACGAUCUCGCGGUAUUUCCCUGUGCUGCAGAUGCCCUUGUUAGAUUCAAGAUGGGUUACUGGGAUCUCGAAGAAGGGAGAGACUGCGUAGGGAAAACAUGGAUCACCACAAAGUUAGGCACAGCGCUGGGGCUUGUGGGCUCCGCCUACCACAUUGUCGCGUUCCAGCCUGACUCCGCCCUCCAGGCUGUACAGAGAGCCACUGCAGGCACAGUCACCAUGGCCAGUCUGGGGGCGAUUUUUGGGAUGGCCACCUGUCUGAGUGCACAGGCCCGUGACGCCCCCGAUGACCCCCUCAACUACUUCAUCGGCGGCUGCGCCUCGGGAGUCUUCCUUGGAGCCCGCAGUCACAGCGCCAUGACUGGUUUCGGCGCAUGCAUGGGCCUCGGGACGGUCGCCAUGUUCACCAAGGUGGGCAAGAUGGAGGGGUGGAACAUCUUCAGUCCGCCCAAAAUGUGACCCGCCUGGACACAUCCCGCCCCGCCCCGGUGUGAUGUCAUGUACAUUUCUUCUUUUUUUUGUCCUGAAUAAAUGUUAAUCAGGUUUAUUCUUCCCAUCAAUAAGUGCUGCAGUUUGACAACCUGCCUGAUGGGGGCGAAGUUUUACCACACUGUGAUCGACGCGCAAGACCUGGCACAAACAAGCAGGCCGUUGGCAGGAUCACACGGAGGAAAUGGUGGAGCUAAUUACAGGUGAAGACAGGAAAUGGUCUGUUUGCAGAAAUGUCACGCAGCUGCACAUGCUAGCGUCCAUGUGGAAACAUGUUUAGAGGAAUGUAGCCGUUCCAACACUUUAAUCUGGGGGAAUAAAAAAACAACGAAGGUUAAAAAACACAAAAAUAUGUUCCUGCACCUAAGUCAAUGAAUAAAGUAGACAAUUUGGUUCCAAUAUAAAUGUUUGUUCACAUUUUCUGAUGUUUUGAGCCCUGUUAAAAGGCUGGGAUCAUUGGAAACUGC